GCCUGGGAUAGCUCAGCUGGUAGAGCCCCAGACUCUUAAUGUCAGGGCCAUGGGUUCAAGCCCCACGUUGGGCA